CUUAAGAAUGAAGAUCACUGAUUCACACGGAGCACAUUAAGGCAAUAACGAGCAAACGCAUUUACCUACACGAACACUGCACUCUUAUCCAGCGUUAGUUGAAAAUCACCACGUAUCAGGACGCCCCUGCACGUACGAUUCUCGCAUUCCAUGAGAAACACGGAUGCACUCACACAGACAUGAAACAGGUUGCUCCUCGCUCAUCCGUUUCACUCCAGAACGAAUUUCUACCGCCAAGCGGACCACGAUAUUUUCUCGAGCCAGCACGUAGGACGAACGAAGAAACAAAGGACGGGAUUGAACGCAGAUGUCAAUAUGUACACUACAGCUUUUUCACCAGAUAAACGGAUUGCAUUUCUCAUACGUACAGGUACCUUCGUAUUCACCUCUUUUCUUUAUUUAUUCGUGUCUAACGAUUUCUUUCCUUUUUCGUUCAUGCUCCGUUCAUAUGUCUUAAAAUCAACACCGGUGGCGCGACAGAGGUUAGAAAUUGUACUCUAGCAAAGUCUAUCGGAAUGUUGUCAAACGAUGAACGCCAGAUGUUUCGGCGUUUCUCGGGCGAGUCAGUUUCCGCAAUAGUUCGUACAGGUUUGCGUGACACGGUUAUACGGCUGUGCUAUAACUCCGAUUAAAAUCACUGACGCACCGGUUGGGAGGUUAGGUCGCUACAGACGCCUCCUCCUCCGCCUCUCUGGCCGCUUUCUCUCUCUCACUCUUCGAUUACGAUUGCACUCGCAGAAGGAACGCGCGGCGUCGGAACAACGAAAUGUUUUCCCGCCACGUGAUAUACGCACAAUCUCCGCGAUACCGAUCGAACACAGCCAGUUAGAAAUCAAACGACCGACCGAAAAUAGUAUGACCGUGUACGCAAAGAAGUGAAACGUCAAGAGCCCCCGUACGCUUUACCGAGCUGGCCGUGGACGGGCCUCUUUGCUUGCUGACGUCAUCGCUUGCCCGCCGGCAUGAACUUCGUUGCACGCACGGAGAGUGCCGAGCCGAAUACCACCGGAUUUGCACGAACCUGCACGAUCGUCCUCGCCAGAACUGUAAUCUUUAUGGAGAAAGAAAAACGCAUGGAUCAAAGACGGACACACGAAUACAACGUAUACAUAUCAGUCGCCCUGAUGGCUUCUGAUGCAGAUGACGUGCAGAUUAGUGGUUGCAUCAGAGGGUUCUUGCUUUGAGACAUCCAGUUAAAGUGCUUCUUCUCCUCUGCCCGACGCAUUUCCGGAUAAUUUAGAUCGUGCAAUGCUCCCUCUGUCAUGUGCUUACCGCUACACAUAUAUCUGCAUAUGUAAGGAAGGGUAAGCUCGUUCAUCAAGUCGUUGACGCAUGAUAAAAUCGUUUACCGUCGUUGUCUUUUAAAUUCAUUUUGAUAUACCGUUAGACGUAAGUACAAUUAGGAAUAUGUUUUAGAAAUUAAAGGUAUGAGAUUUUCAUUAAUUCCUUGCUUUAUGAUUUUUUAAACCGUGAUUAACGGAGUGUUAACUAUUUAUAGUUGUAACAACGUAUCAAAUAGAAAAUAUAAAGAUACUGUGUAUAAUUUGUAUUUCCCGAUCCAUGUUGAAAAACUGAAAUGUUUAAACUAAAAUUGAAAUUAUACUCUGUUACAGAUAUUAUCUAUCUCGUAGAAUUUUAUCGAGUAAUAAUAUCACGAUUGUGAGUGAAUAUGAAAAAGUUGGGCGUUAAAUAUGUACAAAAUUGGAAGUGAUAAUAAACAGUUAUUCCGGUAAAAAUUGAA